ensembl:lncRNA
GAGAAUUCUGAGAGAUGGUGGCAAAAUCCAGAACCAUAUUUUCUGGUAACCAUUCAUUAACAUCAAAUAAAAUUAAGAAUUAAGUUCCUCAGUUGCACUAGCCACAUGCCAAGGGUUCAAUAACUAUGUGUGGCUUCUGGCUACCAUAUUGGUCAACACAGACUUAUAGAGCUUUUCUAUUCUUAUAGAAAGUUCUAUUAAAGAGAGCUAUUCUGGACAGAGGAAAAAAAUCAAUGGCUGGUCUAUGGAGAUGAGAUAGAUGGGGGAGACAAGGAAGUCAUCGGUGCCAGCAGGAGGACCAAUAUCCAAAAUGUGAGGAAUGAAGUCCAAAAAGGCAAUUGCUUCUAAAGAAUCCAGCUUCAAAUUGACAUGAGGACUGCAGAAUAAGUGGAAGAAUGCCCAAGAACUGAAUGGGAUAAUUUACUUCAAUGAGAUUAUACAUAUAUGGUUACAUGCCGACCAUGAUGGUGCCUGUAAUUAGGUGGUGACCAGGUGGGAUCAUCCCCCAAAACCUCCGUUUUAUUCUAUCAUCAAGGGGUCUCCAUCUUCACAC